rnacentral:lncRNA from 1 species
ACGAGGAGCUCUGGUGAACAAGUGCGAGUCCUCUACAUGUGGUGCUCUGCAAGCAAGUGAAAAUAGACUAAGCUCAAAGGAAAGAAAAGGGAUCAUUGUACCACACAAUGCACAGUGUACAGAAGUCAACAUGAAAGAUACUGGAAAAAGUUACUUGUAUUUCUGUCAAGCAAGCAAUUGAAAGCAGUAUUGAUUCUGAAUCUGACAUUAUUGUGGCCAGAAAAAAAAGUUCCUUAUUGUCAAUGAUAUUCAUGCCUGAAGCAUAUGAGAAUAUUUCACACAACUCUCUCAGAACAACAAGGCAAACAACAUUGGGUGGAAAAGGGUCUUGGAUCAAUCCCAUAUGGACUAAUGGUAUAUGAAAAAAAUGUGACUUCAAAGGUAUUCAUUCCCUUCUGCAUAUUGUAUUGCUUCCUCUUCUGUGCUACCACAGUGCAUAAGUAUUGAUACACUAUUUGUUUUGUUGAAAUUAGAGGUUCUGUACUACAUUGAAAAAUUAUUGGAGACAGGGAGAAUAUCUUACACAUCUCAAUAGCUCUAGAACUUAACCCCAAAUUGGCUGAAAUUUAAUCUUAUUGAGCAUGAAGCAUGUGCCAAGCACUUCAUAAAGUACUUUAAUUUAUU